ACUGCAACUACAGCAUGCUGAAAGCUCAACUCCAACAGAGAGAGAGAGAGAGCGAGAGAGAGAGCAAGCAUUAUCAGAGUGGGAGAGUGUUUUACCACUGUUGACUGUCGGCAGCGUCACUCUUUUGGCAGCAGAGGCACCUCCACUCGUCCGCUCCACACAUGCGGUGUCAACAUACUGACUGAACCUCCUCCACUUCAGCUCAAACUCCACUUCAGUGGAAUACUUCAACAGGACGGCUGCUUAUCUGCCUUUACUCUGGUGGCUUCAAGAGCUUUUCAAAAAGUUCAAUUGUUUUUCCCCCCAUCUCUCAUGGACCAGUUUUAACUCCGAAUAGAAGGUACUUAUUUGCCUCCUAAAUCUUCAGUUCAGAUGUGUGGAACGUGUUUAAAAUUCUACAGGACGUACAAGUUUCGGGAUGUGCAUGACUUUCAGGUUGCCUGAAGGAGAGGUGAAACAGAACUGAUGCUGUUGUUCGAGAUUUGGAAAGACAGUGGUAUAAAAUGGAAGAUUGAAUACAACAUCGUCAUGGUAUCGCAAGAUUAGACAAUUCCAGCACCUAGCUAUGCCUCUUUGCUGCUGCUUGUUUCUGAUAUUCAGUUUAAAAAAUUGCAUGCCUUGAUCUCUGAAUACUGAAACAUGGAAAUUCUGAUGAACAUCACUCUACCAACUUAUGUGAACAGCAGUCUACCAACCAAUGCAACUCUGACAGGGGGUGAAGAACAUGAGUUGCAGUCUUUGUUGCUGGUCCUCAUGGUGAUCAUCAUCACCAUUAUCAUUGUGGGUAACCUUCUGGUCAUCAUCGCUAUCGCAUACACCUCCCAGCUGCAGACCACGACGAAUAUCUUCAUCAUGUCAUUGGCAUGCGCUGACCUCAUAAUGGGGGUUCUGGUGGUGCCACUGGCUGCCACAAUUGUCAUAACGGGGAAAUGGCAACUCACCAAGACUUUGUGUGAGUUAUGGACAUCAGUUGAUGUGUUAUGCGUCACUGCCAGUAUAGAGACACUUUGCAUCAUCGCAUUGGAUAGGUACAUUGCAAUCACGCGGCCUCUGCGACAUAAAGUGCUCCUGAAUAAGUGUAGGGCUCGAAUUAUUGUUUGUGUCGUGUGGCUGGUCUCAUCUCUGAUCUCCUUCGUCCCCAUUAUGAAUCAGUACUGGCGUGUGGAUUUUGCCAAUGAUACAAACUUGAUAGAAUGUAACAAGGACCCCAAUUGUUGUGACUUUAUAGCAAAUGUGCCAUUUGUUAUAAUUUCAUCAGUGGUUUCAUUCUACAUCCCUCUACUCAUCAUGAUUUUUGUCUAUGCACGCGUUUUUCUCAUUGCCACACGACAGGUACAGCUAAUCGUCAAAAACCAUUUGAGGUUCCAAAACGAGUGCAUAGGGAAUCAGGUACAGCCGAUGCACCAUGGCAACAACAACUUGCCUUCGACGUGCAAUAACUUCGGAGGAACGACGGCAAGGCGGAAAAAUUCCCGAAGGCGUCCAUCGGUCGUCAAGGAGCACAAGGCCCUCAAGACAUUGGGCAUCAUCAUGGGUGUCUUCACACUCUGCUGGCUGCCUUUUUUUGUGGCAAACAUCAUCAAUGUCUUCUAUCGAGAUGUGCCGAACAGGGACAUUUUUCGUUUAUUAAACUGGUUAGGCUACAUCAACUCCGGCCUCAACCCCAUCAUCUACUGUCGAAGCCCAGAGUUUCGUAUUGCCUUCAAGAACCUUCUUGGCUGUCCCUGGUUGCCCUUUCUAAAAAUGAACUUCCUUUUCAAAGGGCUUCGGACUCGAUGCCCCUGCUUCCUGGGGUCUAUGGAGCCAGGAAUGCCUGGAACAUUCCAGAAGACCCCCACACUGCCUGAAGAAGGGAGCAGCCAGAGCAGCUUCAGGAGCGAGGAGGCAUUGCCGGGACUGCCACACUCCAGUGGCAGCACCUUCUUCAGUGAAUUCUCCGAAGCCGAGGCAGAGUUAGGCAUUUCAGGAAAGGUUUUUCCUAGAAGGGGGAGACAGACUUGACUAUCAGAGUACAGGGUUUACAGCAGCUGUUAUGGGGUCUGGGUGGGCAAGCCCUGGAGACAUUUCCUAGCCACAAUGAGGACAUGAUGUUCAAGCUGCUGAACCCACGGCAGACUUCAUGAAAGGAGAAAAAUGUUGCGGUGAAAACCAAAAAGAAAGAAGCAGAGAGAAAGGAACAACUUAGAAUCAAGUCAUUCCGAGCGACUUCAAUCUCUAAAUGCUUGAAGCAGUGAGUUCACUGGUGUCAGGUCGCCCAUUUCAACAAACAAAUCACAUUAUUCAGCAUAUAGCUCACCAACCUAUGAGUACAUGGAGUAAAAUUUGAUCAGCCCAGUGAAGUCUGAAGCCCUUUUACGUAAACUGUGUACUUUGGUUUUCGUACACCAUGACCAGGUCUCAAGUGAGCUCCAUUAAACACAGGGCAGCUUGAACAUUAUGUCUAGUACAAUGUAAUAAGACAAAAUGAGCAUUUUGAGUAUUUUUUGGUGCAGUGCGUUAUGAAAGUUGUCCUUGUAGACAUGCAGUAAUUCAAAUAAUGACAGAUGGGAGAUAAUGGCAGUGUGUUUUGUUUAACAGGAAGUCAACAUUUUCCCACUCUGUGCUGCUGAUGGGUACAUUUUGUGUUGCCGGCAGAAACACAUAAAUUAAGCCACAAUGAUUGCUUUGUGUUUCACAGCGCAAUGAGAAAGGGUUGAAAUGCUGUGAAUGUGUAUUGAUAACCUCUCCAUGAGAAAGAGCACUUGUUGCAAUUGUUUUUUUGCAAACAAACAUGCAUUUUUUUAAUAUUAUGGAUUUUGGCAGCAUGAUGUAAUUGCUGUAGAAGCUAAAUAUAUAUGAUUGUCUAUAAAUUUGUUGCUACAACUAAGGAAGUUGUAUGGGUAAGAAUGAGGUGGUUUCUGUAGUGUUUUUUGGCAAGUUUUAAGGCCCCUCUGUUGCUGACACCCCCAGGAGCUGAUAAACUUUAUCACUGAAACGCAACACUUCCACCUUUGAGAAGAAGCUGUUUAUGACUUAAACUGAGCAAGCGCAGUCAACGCUCAAAGCGAAAGGCAAGAUAGUCAGCAAACCCUUGACACGAAACUAGAUUAGAGAUUAAUGUUUUUGUUUCGUGUCAGGAUUUCAAAGACUUUAUGAAAAAAAAGUUCAACUGACAAAAGUUUACAGAGCAAAACAAAAUUAAUUAAUU